CUAAAUCCCGUCUAAUUUAGGUGAGCAAGCAAUUGGGCAGGCGGGGGUGGGGCCCGAGGAAAGGAAUGAGGGACGUUGCAUAAAGUUGGUCAACAACCGACGUUCGCCAUCUCCUUCCUCCCCGGCGCACAGCUCGUCGUCAUCAAGCUUGAUACAAUUUCUAUGGAUUCUAUGGCACCUGUUACAGAGGUUUCUCACGAACUUGCCCGAGAGUCCCUAAUAGAGAUCUCACAAUCUCUUCCAGAAAAUAACCUUCACUCAAAUCCAUUGCCUACUAACUGUACUGAUGCUAAUGUUGUCAGUGUAAAAGAUAGCGAAAAGGCUGAAGAAUAUAGAUCUAAGUUGAUCUCCAUUUCCUACACAGAGUCUUCAGAAGUUCAACCUUCACCGUCUGCUUUAGAAAAUAUCCGCAGCUAGCCAAGAAAUUGCUGCUGCUUGUGGAGAUCUGUGUGUGUUGUUAUCUUUCCAUGUUUUUUCUGUUUUGGGUUAAACUCCUGGUUCUCAACUAUCAACUCUUUGCUUUCAAUGAAAUAAAUUUAUCAUAUAAAUCCAUACUGA